UAGAAAAAGAUUUUUGAAAGGGGCUC
rnacentral:piRNA from 1 species